rnacentral:rRNA from 1 species
CUUCGGUAAAGAGCGGCGGACGGGUGAGUAACGCGUGGGUAACCUGCCCUGUACACACGGAUAACAUACCGAAAGGUAUGCUAAUACGAGAUAAAAUACUUUUAUCGCAUGGUAGAAGUAUCAAAGCUUUUGCGGUACAGGAUGGACCCGCGUCUGAUUAGCUAGUUGGUAAGGUAACGGCUUACCAAGGCGACGAUCAGUAGCCGACCUGAGAGGGUGAUCGGCCACAUUGGAACUGAGACACGGUCCAAACUCCUACGGAAGGCAGCAG